rnacentral:rRNA from 1 species
UGGGGAAUAUUGGACAAUGGGGGGAACCCUGAUCCAGCAAUGCCGCGUGUGUGAAGAAGGCCUGAGGGUUGUAAAGCACUAUCAGCGGGGAGGAGGGUUUACAGGUUAAGAGCUAGUGAACUGGACGUUACCCGCAGAAGAAGCACCGGCUAACUCCGUGCCAGCAGCCGCGGUAAUACGGAGGGUGCGAGCGUUAAUCGGAAUUACUGGGCGUAAAGGGUGCGUAGGUUGUUGAAUAAGUUAUCUGUGAAAUCCCCGGGCUUAACCUGGGCAGGUCAGAUAAGACUGUUUGACUAGAGUAUGGGAGAGGGUAGUGGAAUUUCCGGUGUAGCGGUGAAAUGCGUAGAGAUCGGAAGGAACACCAGUGGCGAAGGCGGCUACCUGGCCUAAUACUGACACUGAGGCACGAAAGCGUGGGGAGCAAACAGGAUUAGAUACCCCCGUAGUCC